rnacentral:rRNA from 1 species
AGAAUCAACGCUGGCGGCGUGCCUAACACAUGCAAGUCGAACGCGAGGACCCCGCAAGGGGUUAGUAGAGUGGCGAACGGGUGAGUAACACGUGGGUGACCUACCUUCGAAUGGGGGAUAACGUCCCGAAAGGGACGCUAAUACCGCAUAACAUCCUGCUUUUGAACAGGUGGAGAUCAAAGCCGGGGAUCGCAAGACCUGGCGUUUGAAGAGGGGCCCGCGUCUGAUUAGCUAGUUGGUGAGGUAACGGCCCACCAAGGCGACGAUCAGUAU